CUCAUACCAGCAACGAUAAGAAAGCCCAUAGUAAUCUUGGAGUACCGAUAUCUGUUCCGUGAAAUAAUAUAUGGUCUAGGCAAAACAAAGUAUCUCAAGUCUCUUGAAUUUAUUCAUGAAUUUGUUUGACUUCUCUGAAUGGAAGGUGUUCUCACCGAUCUUUUUACUUGUCGGCCUUCUUUGUCAUUAAGGCAAACGUUGCAUUUUCGCACAAAUAUUAAACUAUUUAUCGCACGAAAACCUCGUACAAUAUGACAUUAUAUAUUUCUUGUUCUAAUUUUUUGCUUUUAGGCUCGGAAAAUAACCACACAAAAAAUAUCGGAACUCCAAAAACAUAUCCAUAUUGUACACAUAUUGUACGCGGUUUGAUAUAGUACUUGCUCAGAUGUUGUAAAACAUUGUAACUAUUAACGUUUAUCCUUUAGGAAAAUUCUACAUUCACGAAUAAUGACAAAGUCUGUUACAGGACAUUGCUUUAAACCACUAAAGUACUUUUUCAAAAUAAGAAAUGGUAUAAAUUACGAAAAUAAUUAUAGAAUGUCUGCGCACUGAAUCCACAAAAUGUGCUAGACAUCGUUAAUUGAAGUGUUAAACGAAGAAAAGCUCAAAGAGAAUUAUAAUAGGUCAAAAUAUUUUCUUGAAAAUAUUUGUCUGAAAAUAUGAAAAGCGUUGAAUUGCCUGGGUUUCAAAAUGUUACUUUCGCAUUUCUUUCUCGUUGUAUAACGCUUGAGUUCUAGAUAAAAUUUUACGUGCUGAAAAAACAAGCUUAUCUUAUUAUGAUGAAACUAGUCGAUAAGGCCCAUGGCAAAAUCCACUAAGAAAGGACAAUGGAAAAAUAAGUUGUUUUAUAUUUCUUGAUGACGUUAGCAACUCAUCCACAAAAAAAAAUAAUUUAGAACCCUGUUUUCACGUUGCCUUUAUUGUGUAGAUCUUAAAACGCAUUUCAAGAGAAUGUAUAUGUUCAUGUAUCUUUGACAAACGGUUGCAGCGAUAUUGGGGUUUAAAGGUUUUUUGAUGACGUCAACAACCCGUCCAUUCCGAAACGGAUUUGGGAACAAAGGAGGACAUUUAAAUUUAAAAUUGAUGUCUUUCUUAAAAUUACUAGCAAACAAAAAAACACGCAAAAUUUGACUGUUGUUGCAAGUGGAAGAUUUAUAAAGUUUUCUGUGGGGAUGUAACACACUCAAGGUCAAAUAUUAUUGCAAAAGUGAACAACAACCUGGUAAUGGUAUGGAACAUAAAACUUGACUCAAACGAAAUUGUGACUGUUCGUCAUUCCGAGAGUGAAACCUGUUAUUGCUGGUGCUGACAAAUUAUGCUUACAGCGACAAGGAAAAGAAUUAUUUGGAGACAGAUUAUCAGUCACUUACAAUCUAGAAGUGAGUAAUGAAGUGACAGUUACGUUGCGAAAGAUUCAAUUUCGUGAGAAUUACUCAUUUGAGUUAAAAGUAUCAUUCGAGAAUGCCAUAACAGGAAAGUUUGAACUUCAAGCGUCUGCUGUAAUCAAUGUGAAAGAUGUUCUUGCACGACGUCCUAAAAGAGAGCUAGAUUCACUUUGAUCAGAAAAUAUACAUCUGCAUAAUCUGGCAUUUUAAUUCUGCAUAAGACAUUGUUAACAUGAAUAAAUGUUUAGGAAUAUUUGUAAAAACAAGUAUUAAUUGCGAUAACAUUUAUGGACUAAUUCAAACUCAAGAAAAUGAAAUUCUAAGCGAAAAUGUUUAGAGAUAAACUCAAACCUCACUAUUUAUACAAAAACAAAACAAACAAUGCAAAGAUAAGCUAUACGUCCAAACCCAAAAUUGACAUAAAUACAAUGUAAAUGUUUUAACGAUAAAAUUUUUAUAAAAACAAUUGUCAUGGCUUCUUAAACUUCAAGCAACUGAAACACCAAGAUCGUUAGCAACAUCAUCUUUGUCAAUUUCCACAAUGCCUAGAUGGAGAUUCUGUAUCACACUUGUCCUCAUCGCUCCACGUGUUUUUCCAUUUUACAGUAAGAGCCAUAUGUUUUAGGUGGUGGAGUACCUAAAACACGUAAGCCCGUAAAGCACGUAGAGCACGCGAGCACGUAAAUUACGUGAACACGUAAAGCACAUAAGUACGUAAAGCACGUAAAGCACGUAAAGCAUGUGAUCACGUAAAGGACGCGAGCACGUAAAGCACACGAGAACGUAAAACACGUGAACACGUAAUUUGACAGACUGUUGUCUGUCUAUUAAAAAUUAAUGAAAUACUUGUAUGUCAACUUUCGUUUAUAUUCCUAUGCGGAGAAAGUAAAAGUUAACGUAAUUGUGUGUACAUGAGCUUAAACCUUUUCAAAUUCAUAGUUAUGAAAGGAAAAAGCAGAGUUGUUAACAGUUUUUGUUGUGUGAAGAAUUUGCAGUUUUUAUUUUGUGGAGUACCUCAUUCACUGUUUACGAAUAUUAUAGCUAAGCUUGAAACUCGUCAAAUGCGUCAAAAAACAAGAUGUUUUCAGAGUAUUUACAAAGCUCAUGGAGUAUCAAAGAUUUUUCAAAUAAUCUUCGAAGAAAAAUUCUAUUUUUUCUUUAUAAAGAAAAUGAAUUGUAAUAUGUAAUUUAAACAUAUGUCUUUCUCAAUAACACAAACCGAAAAUCCAAGUAAAAGUUGGUCUAGCUUUCAAAAAUUACAAGUUGUGUACUGAAAUAUACUGCUAUAUAUAGAAUUGAAAAACACAAUUAUCACACAAGCAGGGAUGUUACAACACGUUGUAAACUGUUAGCUAUUUUCAACCAAUUUUACCCUCGUAAUAUAGCUGGCUACAUAUAGAUUCAAAAAACAACUUAAAAUAAAUCCAAAACCUCGCAUCACUCCACCUGAAAAACCACAAGAAAUGUUAAUAGGUUUAAACCAAUACAUCUUAAAUAUCAACAUCAAACGCAACAAUACGUAACAAGCAAAAUGGCGUCGAAUUUGUGUGAUAGACUGAUGAAGAAUAAACUUUCGUUCAAAAAAAGUUAGGAAAAUUCUUUACAUGGAUAUUCGAAUGUUUUCUAUUAGAAACCUAUUAGAAAAAUUAAUACAAUGAAAUUCAAAUCAAAAGUUUUCUUCCUUACCAAAAAUUGAUUUUUACAUCCUUUUUACAAGUGUGUCCUUAGAAAAUAAUUCUGGUUUCUACAAACCCAACAAAAAUUGCUAUCAGUUAACAAAUACAAUGUUCUACCUAUCUUUUCCGAGAAAUAUUCACCUCGGUCAGCGUAUCGACCAUGCAAGCUCGGUCUAUACUUUUGACCUCGGGUAAUAUUUCUCAGUAUAGAUAGACAAAACAGAUUAUAUUUUAUUGGCAUUAAUUUCACACGCAGGAUGCAAAGUGUUAGAAAAGACGAGGUAAGAAAAGUAGUGAGCUGAGUUCACUUCUUUAUAGAUGAAAGUCAGUGUGAAAAGUUGGACAGAAUAGCAAAAUAACUUUAGAUAACUUUAGAAUUAAGAAUUAUAUACCUCUUAUAUAAUUAUAUACCUUUUGUAAUGCCUCUACAACAUGGCUUUACGAAUGACAAUUUCUAACAAUAUUGAAGUAAAAUAACAAAAAACGAUUUUUAGAAAAAUUUAAACACACUGUUUAUUUUAAAGCUUUAACAUUUUCUAUUUAUCCCAAUUUAAAUUUAAAGUGAAAGUCAAAUGCAACAACACUUGUUAAGACAGAAAGAAAUUUACAAACUAUUAUUUAUUGAAAGUUAUAAUUC